rnacentral:rRNA from 1 species
AACGAACGCUGGCGGCAUGCCUAACACAUGCAAGUCGAACGAAGCCUUAGGGCCUAGAGGCGCACGGGUGCGUAACACGUGGGAAUCUGCCCUUAGGUACGGAAUAACUCAGGGAAACUUGAGCUCAUACUGUCUGAUGUCUUCGGACCAAAGACUUAUCGCCUAAGGAGGAGCCCGCGUCGGAUUAGCUAGUUGGUGGGGUAAAGGCAUACAAAGGCGACGAUCCGUAGCUGGUCUUAGAGGAUGAGCAGCCACACUGGGACGAAGACACGGCCCAGACUCCUACGGGGAGCAGCAGUGGGGAAUAUUAGGAGAGGGAGGAAAGCCAGAUCCAGGAAGGCCGCGUGAGUGAAGAAGGCCUUCAGGUUGUAAAGCGCUUUUACCCGGGAGGAUAAUGACUGUACCGGGAGAAUAAGCCCCGGCUAACUCCGUGCCAGCAGCCGCCGUAA